UUGAGGCCCCCACGAGCAAGGCCAAGGAAAAGGGAGUCCUCCAGCCAAGUCUCAUUUCACAUUUCCUUAUUUUAGCUAUUCACUCUCUCACUCUCAAACAUACCUCAUCAGAGCUUGCUCUGCCAUGCUGGAGGCAACAAAGAUGAGCCAAAACAAUCAUUAGUACCACCAUAGUAACCCUCUCAACCUCCUUUCCUCAAUUCUAGCAUCAAUUCUUUCUAAACUCAAUCAGAUUUUCCAAAUAGAAAUAACAUCCUAAGAACCCUAAGCCAAAGAAAAUGAAAUUAAAUGGAGGCGGAGCAUUAAUUUGAACUCAAACCUUAGGGUUUUGGUUCAGAGACCUAUACACUACAUAUUGGUAGAGAGUUUGAAUCAAAAAGAUGGAAUUUGGAGGACUUACCUCCAAGGCGAAGAUUUUCCUUGGAACUUGUUGAAGGUGAAGACGUUGAAGUUGGAGAAAAAAGAAUACCAAAGGUAUCAGACGGAUUGCUAGGUUUGAGAUAAGGCAAUGAUGAUGAGGAAUUCGACAAGGGUUAUCAAAUGGCAAGGCAUGGAACAAGGCAUGACAUGGAUUCAAGGUGUGAAUCAUGAAGAAGUAUAUGGCAUAUGAAAAAAUUGUGAAGAACUUGAAGGCUUUAUAUGGAUGGCUUGUGAAUGAAGAAUAAGUAUGAUAGGGUUUAGGAUAGGUAGUUAACUUUGGUCAACUAUUUGACCAAAAAGUUAGUAGUUGACCAAAAGUCAACUCUACGUCAAAUGAUGUAAAAUUAUGUGAUUUUAAUUUUGAACCUUUUGUGAUGAAAUGUUUGAAGGUUUUGUAAUGAAAUCGGCCUUUGAAUGGAAA